rnacentral:rRNA from 1 species
GGAAAAGAAAUCAACCGAGAUUCCGUAAGUAUCGGCGAGAGAACAUGGAAAAGACCAAACACCUUGGAAAGUCACCGCCGAAAGAUGUGGAAAAAUCUACCAAAGAGGGUGAAAGUCCCGUAGACGUGGCUUCUAAGGUGUGUUCAAAAGAGUAAAACGAAAGUAUUUGUUUGAAUACAGGAGGCCCACCUUCUAGGUCUAAAUAUGCUUUUGAAACCAAUAGUGAACAAGUACCGUGAGGGAAAAGUGAAAAGAACCUUAACUAAGGAGUGAAAGAGAACCUGAAACAAAAAAUAACCAUGCAAUCGAUUUUCUCUGUACGGGGGGUCGGUGUACCUUUUGCAUAAUGGGUCAGCGAGUAAAUAAAAAAAGCGAGGCUUAAACGACUAAGUGGAGGCAAAGCAAAAGCGAGUAUGAAGAGUGCGUGUGUUUUUUUUAUUUGACCCGAAACUAAGUGAUCUAGCUUUGAACAGGCUGAAGAAAGGGUAAAAGCUUUUGGAGGGCCGAACUGACGUCUGUUGCAAUAGACGCAGAUGAGUUGAGGCUAGGGGUGAAAGGCCAAUCAAA